AAACGCUAAACAUUUGUAGGUAAAACGGUCGUAGCUCGUAUGAUCAGCCUGUAGUGUUGAAAGCAAGAAAACACGGAAUAAUAGCUAUCACACCCUAACGCAUGCGAGAAAAGUAUUUGAAAUUGUUAGAACAAUGCAGCUCAUUUUUUACUUUUUGCAGAUUGUCACGAAAAAUUUCCGGAAGUAACCGGAAGUAGCCAAUGUCUCCAGAAAUAGGGAUCCCAUAAUAAAAUGAAUGAGAUUUUUGUGAUCCUUGUCAAAUUUUGGGUUGGACUGACGUGUUUUUAGCCAAAAGUCGGAUUUGAUCAAAAUCGUGAUUUUUCAUGAGCGAUUUUUGACGAUUUUCGGGUAUUUUGAGUUGAUACAUGGAGUCGACCCCAAAUUUGACGAGGAUCACGAAAAUGUGAAUCUUUUUUCUGACAGACCAACAAAUAAGGAGUUAUUAGGCAUUUUAAAACCGGAAGUAAAACCGGAAAUUGAAAUUUUGGAAAUCCAAAAAAUAAGCUUUAUUCGCCUUUAAAUUGUUAACAAGAAUUGCCUAGUUCAAAGAUAGACCAAUAUAAAUAAAUGUUAACGGGAUUGUGAACAGUUCUGAAAGUACAGGUUGGUUUACGACCUACGCACGCUAAGAUUGCGCAUUAAAGAAAAACCUGAAAUCAAACAUUAAGAACACCUUAAUUGUUCUAAAUAAAAUUGUCUCCAUUGAACUCGUGAAAUACUUGAUAAUAAAUGAAAAUCUGCAGCCAAAAUUUGACAGAACUUUAAAAAAAACAUGGGGUCCAGGAGCAUCUGGCGAGAGUGCUGUGGAACUUCGAAAGUUCGGGGCUCCGGGCAUAAUAGCAAACUGCUACCGAAUUGUCGAGUUUACGUCAAUGAAUGUUAACAUGAAAAGAGUUUUAUAACAUAAAAAAUAAAAUAGAAAGAAAAUAAAUAUUUAUGUUGUGAGUCUGCAUCUUGCUGAGCUUCGAAGCUGACAUUCGGCUCGAAAGCUUCCUUAAAUCCCAACAUAUUGGUGAAAUGACGUAACAUGGCAGCCAUGUCAGAAGUAGGGUGACUUCAAGAAUCACUAUUUGUAUGGUGUGGAUUUUAUAAGGACCAAUUGCAAUAUGCUAGGGUCAUGAAAGACUGUCUGGUUUGCAUAGAUACCCUUAAGAUUAGAAAAUUGAUCUGUUAACCGCAAAUGAGUCUGAGCAUCCUAAGAAGAAAAAGUAAUCUUUCUAUUUGUAGACUUACCAAUGCUGAAUCGUGUAAUGUGAACUAGAUUUGUUUCGUCUGCUCAAUUCAUGGUAAUAAAAAAUGUUCACACGGUGAUAUCAGCUAGCUACAUUUGAUGUGACACUAACAUUUAUAACCAGUUUAAUUCACAAACAGUUGAAUAAACUUAACGACUUAAUAUACAGAUAUUUGAAGACAGAAUAA